rnacentral:rRNA from 1 species
AGUUUGAUCAUGGCUCAGGACGAACGCUGGCGGCGUGCUUAACACAUGCAAGUGGAGCGACGAACCGGGGCUUGCCCCGGGGCAGAGCCGCGAACGGGUGAGUAACACGUGGGUUACCUACCCCAAUGACCGGGACAACCCGAGGAAACUCGGGCUAAUACCGGAUGUGGUCUUCGGACGAAAGGAAGCUUCGGCCUCCGCAUUGGGAUGGGCCCGCGGCGCAUUAGCUUGUUGGUGGGGUAACGGCCUACCAAGGCGACGACGGGUAGCCGGCCUGAGAGGGCGACCGGCCACACUGGGACUGAGACACGGCCCAGACUCCUACGGGAGGCAGCAGUGGGGAAUUUUGGACAAUGGGCGCAAGCCUGAUCCAGCCAUGCCGCGUGCGGGAAGAAGGCCUUCGGGUUGUAAACCGCUUUUGUCAGGGAAGAAACGGUCUGAUCUAAUACAUCGGACUAAUGACGGUACCUGAAGAAUAAGCACCGGCUAACUACGUGCCAGCAGCCGCGGUA